AGCAUACUACAUAGUUUGGUCGCUUGCUUAGAGAAGAAGCCAGCAUUUUGGAUCUAUAUCAGAACUAGAUCUAAUUGGAAUGGCUACUUUUUGCCUGGGUAUGAUCGCUGCUCUUGUGGUAUGGUGCUUCCUAGGCAUUUCGGCAGGGGAAGAAACCCAGAUACCAAUCUGUGGAUCUCAGAACCCAAACGAUAACAUUAUUGACCUUACUGAGCCGAUCAAUCCAGGACCAUUCCACGACCUAACCAAAGUGGAGAUAAUUAAGUUGAGAGAAUUUCUCGAAAAUGAUACGCAAAUCAAUGCAUCCAAAUUUGAAACACGAAUAAUAAAUUCCAGUUAUAUUUAUAUGACUGACCUUUACCCUCCCUCAAAGGAGAACACUUUGAGCUUUUUAAAAGG
rnacentral:sRNA from 1 species